UCUGUAGGCGGUGCGGCAAGUCGGGAGUGAAAUCCCUGGGCUUAACUCAGGGGCUGCUUCCGAAACUGCCGUGCUGGAGUGCGAGAGAGGUGAGUGGAAUUGCAGGUGUAGCGGUGAAAUGCGUAGAUAUCUGCAGGAACACCAGAGGCGAAGGCGGCUCACUGGAUCGCAACUGACGCUGAGAGACGAAAGCUAGGGGAGCAAACAGGAUUAGAUACCCUGGUAGUCCUAGCCCUAAACGAUCAGGACUUGGCGUGGGCCCCGUACGGGGCUCGUGUCGGAGCUAACGUGUUAAGUCCUGCGCCUGGGGAGUACGGUCGCAAGGCUGAA
rnacentral:rRNA from 1 species